rnacentral:rRNA from 1 species
UACGGGGGGGGCAAGCGUUGUUCGGAAUUACUGGGCGUAAAGGGCUCGUAGGCGGCCGACUAAGUCAGACGUGAAAUCCCCCGGCUUAACCGGGGAACUGCGUCUGAUACUGGACGGCUUGAAUUCGGGAGAGGGAUGCGGAAUUCCAGGUGUAGCGGUGAAAUGCGUAGAUAUCGGGAGGAACACCAGUGGCGAAGGCGGCUUCCUGGCCUGUUCUUGACGCUGAGGCGCGAAAGCUAGGGGAGCAAACGGG